AUUGAACGCUGGCGGCAGGCCUAACACAUGCAAGUCGAGCGAGCGGCGGACGGGUGAGUAAUGUAUGGGGACUGCCCGAUAGAGGGGGCUAACUACUGGAAACGGUAGCUAAUACCGCAAACUAUGGGAUCACCAAUAUGGUAUUGGCUAGUAGGUGGGGUAAUGGCUCACAUAGGCGUCGAUCCCACGCUGGUCGAAGGGGAUGAUCUGCCAAUGUGGGACGAGGACACGGCCCAAAAGCUGACGGAGGCAGCUGUGGGGAAUAUUGCGCAAGGGGCGCAAGCGUGUUGCACCCAUGCCGCGUGUAUGAAGAGGGCCCUAGGGUUGUGAAGUACUUUCAGUCGGGAGGCGUUACCGACAGAAGAAGCACCGGCUAACUCCGUGCCAGCAGCCGCGGUAAUAC
rnacentral:rRNA from 1 species